GCGUGGCGGCGCGCCUAACACAUGCAAGUCGAACGGAGCUUAGAGAGCUUGCUUUUAAGCUUAGUGGCGAACGGGUGAGUAACGCGUGAGUAACCUGCCCUGGAGUGGGGGACAACAGUUGGAAACGACUGCUAAUACCGCAUAAGCCCACGGUACCGCAUGGUACUGAGGGAAAAGGAUUUAUUCGCUUUAGGAUGGACUCGCGUCCAAUUAGCUAGUUGGUGAGGUAACGGCCCACCAAGGCGACGAUUGGUAGCCGGACUGAGAGGUUGAACGGCCACAUUGGGACUGAGACACGGCCCAGACUCCUACGGGAGGCAGCAGUGGGGGAUAUUGCACAAUGGGGGAAACCCUGAUGCAGCGACGCCGCGUGGAGGAAGAAGGUUUUCGGAUUGUAAACUCCUGUCGUUAGGGACGAUAAUGACGGUACCUAACAAGAAAGCACCGGCUAACUACGUG
rnacentral:rRNA from 1 species